UAGGGAAUAUUGGUCAAUGGGCGAGAGCCUGAACCAGCCAUGCCGCGUGCAGGAAGAAGGCCCUCUGGGUUGUAAACUGCUUUUGACUAGGGCCAAAAAGACCAUGCGUGGUAAAUUGAGAGUACUAGUAGAAUAAGCACCGGCUAACUCCGUG
rnacentral:rRNA from 1 species